rnacentral:rRNA from 1 species
UACGUAGGGGCGCAAGCGUUUAUCCGGAAUUAUUGGGCGUAAAGGAGCUCGUAGGCGGUUUGUCGCGUCUGCCGUGAAAGUCCGGGGCUCAACUCCGGAUCUGCGGUGGGUACGGGCAGAACUAGAGUGAUGUAGGGGAGACUGGAAUUCCUGGUGUAGCGGUGAAAUGCGCAGGAUAUCAGGAGGAACACCGAUGGCGAAGGCAGGUCUCUGGGCAUUAACUGACGCUGAGGAGCGAAAGCAUGGGGAGCGAACAGG